ACGUAGGGAGCGAGCGUUAUCCGGAAUUAUUGGGUGUAAAGCGUGCGCAGGCGGCUUGUUGUGUCAGGUGUGAAAUUUCAAGGCUCAACCUUGGGGCGGCUUUGGAAACUGGAAAACUUGAGUGCAGAAGAGGAAAGUGGAAUUUCAUGUGGAGCGGUGAAAUGCGCAGAGAUAUGGAGGAACACCAGUGGCGAAGGCGACUUUCUGGUCUGUAACUGACGCUGAUGUGCGAAAGCGAGGGGAGCAAACAG
rnacentral:rRNA from 1 species